UUGCAGCAUUGAAAAAUUAAAGCCUGAGAAGGAGGUUCAACGAGCUAAGUCUGAAAUUCUUAGGAGAAAAUUGAAAAUUAGGGAUCUAUUUUGGAAUUUGGGUUUAUUUUGUGCUAAAGGAAGGCUUCCAGAGUCUUUGUUUGAUUCCGAAGGAGCAAUACGAAGUGACGAUAUUUUCUGUGCAAAAUGCGGGUCCAAAGAGCUGACCACUGAUAAUGAUAUAAUUCUCUGUGAUGGUGCUUGUGACCGUGGAUUUCACUAAUGCUGUUUAAGUCCUCCAUUGUUAACUAAAGACAUUCCGCCGGGCCAUGAUAUUUGGCUAUGCCCAGGAUGUAACUGCAAACUUGAAUGCAUUAAACUUCUUAAUGACUUCUUAGGAACAAGUCUUUCUGUUAGGGACACCUGGGAGGUCAGUGAGCAAAUUCAAGA